ensembl:snRNA U6 U6 spliceosomal RNA
GUACUUGCUUCAGGAGCACAUAUGCUAAAAUUGGAACGAUACAGAAGAUUAGCAUGACCUCUGUGCAAGGAUGACACGAAUUCGUGAAGCAUUCCAUAUUUUA